rnacentral:rRNA from 1 species
GUGAGGAAUAUUGGUCAAUGGUCGCAAGACUGAACCAGCCAUGCCGCGUGCAGGAUGACGGUCCUAUGGAUUGUAAACUGCUUUUGUACGGGAAGAAACACUCCUACGUGUAGGGGCUUGACGGUACCGUAAGAAUAAGGAUCGGCUAACUCCGUGCCAGCAGCCGCGGUAAUACGGAGGAUCCGAGCGUUAUCCGGAAUCAUUGGGUUUAAAGGGUCCGUAGGCGGCCCUGUAAGUCAGCGGUGAAAUCUCCCGGCUCAACCUGGAAACUGCCGUUGAUACUGCAGGGCUUGAAUUGCCGGGAAGUAACUAGAAUAUGUAGUGUAGCGGUGAAAUGCUUAGAUAUUACAUGGAAUACCGAUUGCGAAGGCAGGUUACUACCGGCGUAUUGACGCUGAUGGACGAAAGCGUGGGGAGCGAACAGGAUUAGAAACCCUAGUAGUCC